rnacentral:rRNA from 1 species
UACGGAGGGUGCAAGCGUUAUCCGGAUUUACUGGGUUUAAAGGGUGUGUAGGCGGACUUUUAAGUCAGCGGUGAAAUCUCCGGGCUCAACCCGGAAACUGCCAUUGAUACUAUUGGUCUUGAAUAUUGUGGAGGUGGGCGGAACGGGUCAUGUAGCGGUGAAAUGCUUAGAGAUGUGGAGGAACACCAAUGGCGAAGGCAGCCUCCUGGGCCAACACUGACACUCAUGCACGAAAGCGUGGGAGCAACAGGG